GAUGAACGCUAGCGGCAGGCUUAAUACAUGCAAGUCGAGGGGCAGCAGGGUAGCAAUAUCGCUGGCGACCGGCGCACGGGUGCGUAACACGUAUACAAUCUGCCUUUAACAGGGGGAUAGCCCGGAGAAAUCCGGAUUAAUACCCCAUAAUAGUAGAACUGGCAUCAGUUUUAUUUGAAAGCUCCGGCGGUUAAAGAUGAGUAUGCGUCUGAUUAGCUAGUUGGUGAGGUAACGGCUCACCAAGGCGACGAUCAGUAGGGGAUCUGAGAGGAUUAACCCCCCACACGGAUACUGAGACACGGAUCCGACUCCUACGGGAGGCAGCAGUAAGGAAUAUUGGACAAUGCCCGCAAGGGUGAUCCAGCCAUGCCGCGUGAGUGAAGAAGGCCUUCGGGUUGUAAAGACUCUUUGUCAGGGAAGAAACACCGGACUCUAACACAGUCCGGGAAUGACGGUACCUGAAGAAUAAGCACCGGCUAACUACGUGCCAGC
rnacentral:rRNA from 1 species